rnacentral:ncRNA from 1 species
CUCGGCACCUUACGAGAAAUCAAAGUUUUUGGGUUCUGGGGGGAGUAUGGUCGCAAGGCUGAAACUUAAAGGAAUUGACGGAAGGGCACCACCAGGAGUGGAGCCUGCGGCUUAAUUUGACUCAACACGGGGAAACUCACCAGGUCCAGACACAAUAAGGAUUGACAGAUUGAGAGCUCUUUCUUGAUUUUGUGGGUGGUGGUGCAUGGCCGUUCUUAGUUGGUGGAGUGAUUUGUCUGCUUAAUUGCGAUAACGAACGAGACCUUAGCCCUUAAAUAGAGUUGCUGGCAUUUGCUGGUAAAUCUUCUUAUGGGGACUAUCGAUUUCAAGUCGAUGGAAGUUUGAGGCAAUAACAGGUCUGUGAUGCCCUUAGACGUUCUGGGCCGCACGCGCGCUACACUGACGGAGCCAGCGAGCUUUUCCUUAGCCGAGAGGUUUGGGUAAUCUUGUGAAACUCCGUCGUGCUGGGGAUAGAGCAUUGUAAUUAUUGCUCUUCAACGAGGAAUUCCUAGUAAGCGCAAGUCAUCAGCUUGCGUUGAUUACGUCCCUGCCCUUUGUACACACCGCCCGUCGCUAGUACCGAUUGAAUGGCUUAGUGAGGCUUCAGGAUUUGCUUAGAUCGAGGGGCAACUCUCUUUCAGAGCGGAGAAUCUAGUCAAACUUGGUCAUUUAGAGGAACUAAAAGUCGUAACAAGGUUUCCGUAGGUGAACCUGCGGAAGGAUCAUUA